rnacentral:rRNA from 1 species
AUGGGUACUGCCAGCGGUGCCGUGGCCCUGCUGCUGGUGGUGCUAGGAGCAAGCGUCGCCAGCUCCAGUGGGCAGCUGCAGGUGGGGUUCUACUCCAAGUCGUGCCCCAGCGCCGAGUCCACCGUCGCGUCCGUCGUCCGGGGAACCGCCGCCGCCGACUCCACCAUCCUCCCCGCCCUCCUCCGCCUCCAGUUCCACGACUGCUUCGUCAGGGGGUGCGACGCGUCGGUGCUGAUCAAGGGCGGGAGCAACAACGCGGAGGUGGACAACAACAAGCACCAGGGGCUCCGCGGGAUGGACGUGAUCGAGAACGCCAAGGCGCAGCUCGAGUCCGAGUGCCCCGGCGUCGUCUCGUGCGCCGACAUCGUCGUCCUCGCCGCGCGCGACGCCGUCGCAUUCACCGGCGGGCCGUCGUUCGACGUGCCGACAGGGCGCCGCGACGGGAAGGUGUCCAACGUGCGGGACGGUGACGUGCUGCCGGACGUGCGCGACUCCGCCCAGGUGCUCCGCUCCAAGUUCCGCGCCAGCGGCCUCGACGACAAGGACCUCGUCCUCCUCAGCUCGGCGCACACGGUGGGCACCACGGCAUGCUUCUUCAUCCAGGACCGGCUCUACAAAUUCCCGCUCCCGGGCGGCGGGCUCGGGUCAGACCCGUCGAUCCCAGACGGCUUCCUGUCGGAGCUCAAGUCCCGGUGCGCGCCGGGAGACUCCAACUCGCGCGUCUCCCUGGACCGCGGCAGCGAGCGCGUCUUCGACACCUCCAUCCUCCGCAACAUCCGCAACGGCUUCGCCGUGAUCGCCUCCGACGCCGCGCUCUACAACGACACCAGCACCGUCGACGUGGUGGACUCCUACUCGGGCCUCCUCAGCACCAUCUUCGGGCCCUACUUCCGCCAGGACUUCGCGGACUCCAUGGUGAAGAUGGGCAGCAUCGGCGUGCUCACCGGCGCCAGCGGGGAGGUCAGGAAGGUCUGCUCCAAGUUCAACUGA